AUAACAGCCUCCACUCUUCUGGGAAGGCUUUCCACUAGAUGUUGGAACAUUGCUGCAGUGACAUGCUUCCAUGGCUCUCAUUCAUCACAAAGGUGUUUGAUGGGGUUGAGGUCAGGGCUCUGUGCCGGCCAGUUAAGUUCUUCCACACCGAUCUCAACAAACCAUUUCGGUUUGGACCUCGCUUUGUGCACGGGGGCAUUGUCAUGCUGAAACAGGAAAGGGCCUUCCCCAAACUGUUGCCACAAAGUUGGAAACACAGAAUCUUCUAGAAUGUUGUUGUAUGCUGUAGCGUUAAGAUUUCCCUUCACUGGAACUAAGGGGCCUGAACCAUAAAAACCAGCCCCAGACCAUUAUUCCUCCUCCACCAAACGUUACAGUUGGCACUAUGCAUUAGGGUAGGUAGCGUUGUCCUGACAUCCGCCAAACCCAGAUUCUUCUGUCGGACUGCCAAGAUGGUGAAGCGUGAUUCAUCACUCCAGAGAACGUGUUUCCACUGCUCCAGAGUCCAAUGGCAGUGAGCUUUACACCACUCCAGCCUAUGCUUGGCAUUUUGGUGAUCUUAGACUCGGUGGUCUUGUUCUAUGAGCUUGUGUGGCCUACCACUUCACAGCUGAGCCGUUGUUGCUCCUAGACAUUUCCACCACCAGGGCAGCUCUAACAGGGCAGAAAUUUGACACAAUGAUUUGUUGGAAAGGUGGCAUCCUGUGACGGUGCCACGCCGAAAGUCAGUGAGCUCUUCAGUACGGGUCAUUCUACUACCAAUGUUUGUCUAUGGAGAUUGCAUGGCAGUGUGCUCGGUUUUAUAUACCUGUCAGCAACGGAUUUAGCUGAAAUAGCUGAAUUCAAUCAUUUGAAGGGGUGUCCACAUACUUUUGUAUAUUUGGUCCAGUUGAAUGAUUUCUAUUAUCUAGGAUUUCUGGGUCAUAUUCAUUAGUGCACACUGUAGCAAAACCUUUUGCCACGGAUAACAAAAACGAGCCUAUCUUAUUGGACAACCUUAGCUUCUACCUACCUACCUCCCUUGUACAAUUUGAAAGUAAUGAUCUAUUAUUAUAAUAUGGACAGACUGCUCUCUACUCUUAUCAAAAUACUCUUUUGUUUUAUGCGUUCUUAUGCUCUGUGACCCCUGACCCCACCAAAACAAAUGCCUAAACUCUUUGUCGGUGCAGUGAGGUACUAGUCACACCAAAAUGAACUUUGUCUGUGCAGUGAGGUACUAGUCACACCAAAAUGAACUUUGUCUGUGCAGUGAGGUACUAGUCACACCAAAAGGAACUGGGGGGGGU
ensembl:lncRNA